rnacentral:rRNA from 1 species
GUGACCUCAAAUCAGGUAGGACUACCCGCUGAACUUAAGCAUAUCAAUAAGCGGAGGAAAAGAAACUAACAAGGAUUCCCCUAGUAACUGCGAGUGAAGCGGGAAAAGCUCAAAUUUAAAAUCUGGCGGUCUUUCGGCUGUCCGAGUUGUAAUCUAGAGAAGUGCUAUCCGCGCUGGACCAUGUACAAGUCUCCUGGAAUGGAGCAUCACAGAGGGUGAGAAUCCCGUCUUUGACAUGGACU